rnacentral:rRNA from 2 species
AUUGAUUUUGGUCGCCAACGAGUGGCGGACGGGUGAGUAACACGUAGGUAACCUGCCCAGAAGCGGGGGACAACAUUUGGAAACAGAUGCUAAUACCGCAUAACAGCGUUGUUCGCAUGAACAACGCUUAAAAGAUGGCUUCUCGCUAUCACUUCUGGAUGGACCUGCGGUGCAUUAGCUUGUUGGUGGGGUAACGGCCUACCAAGGCGAUGAUGCAUAGCCGAGUUGAGAGACUGAUCGGCCACAAUGGGACUGAGACACGGCCCAUACUCCUACGGGAGGCAGCAGUAGGGAAUCUUCCACAAUGGGCGCAAGCCUGAUGGAGCAACACCGCGUGAGUGAAGAAGGGUUUCGGCUCGUAAAGCUCUGUUGUUAAAGAAGAACACGUAUGAGAGUAACUGUUCAUACGUUGACGGUAUUUAACCAGAAAGUCACGGCUAACUACGUGCCAGCAGCCGCGGUAAUACGUAGGUGGCAAGCGUUAUCCGGAUUUAUUGGGCGUAAAGAGAGUGCAGGCGGUUUUCUAAGUCUGAUGUGAAAGCCUUCGGCUUAACCGGAGAAGUGCAUCGGAAACUGGAUAACUUGAGUGCAGAAGAGGGUAGUGGAACUCCAUGUGUAGCGGUGGAAUGCGUAGAUAUAUGGAAGAACACCAGUGGCGAAGGCGGCUACCUGGUCUGCAACUGACGCUGAGACUCGAAAGCAUGGGUAGCGAACAGGAUUAGAUACCCUGGUAGUCCAUGCCGUAAACGAUGAGUGCUAGGUGUUGGAGGGUUUCCGCCCUUCAGUGCCGGAGCUAACGCAUUAAGCACUCCGCCUGGGGAGUACGACCGCAAGGUUGAAACUCAAAGGAAUUGACGGGGGCCCGCACAAGCGGUGGAGCAUGUGGUUUAAUUCGAAGCUACGCGAAGAACCUUACCAGGUCUUGACAUCUUGCGCCAACCCUAGAGAUAGGGCGUUUCCUUCGGGAACGCAAUGACAGGUGGUGCAUGGUCGUCGUCAGCUCGUGUCGUGAGAUGUUGGGUUAAGUCCCGCAACGAGCGCAACCCUUGUUACUAGUUGCCAGCAUUAAGUUGGGCACUCUAGUGAGACUGCCGGUGACAAACCGGAGGAAGGUGGGGACGACGUCAGAUCAUCAUGCCCCUUAUGACCUGGGCUACACACGUGCUACAAUGGACGGUACAACGAGUCGCGAACUCGCGAGGGCAAGCAAAUCUCUUAAAACCGUUCUCAGUUCGGACUGCAGGCUGCAACUCGCCUGCACGAAGUCGGAAUCGCUAGUAAUCGCGGAUCAGCAUGCCGCGGUGAAUACGUUCCCGGGCCUUGUACACACCGCCCGUCACACCAUGAGAGUU